rnacentral:rRNA from 7 species
UAGGGAAUCUUCCGCAAUGGGCGAAAGCCUGACGGAGCAACGCCGCGUGAGUGAUGAAGGUCUUCGGAUCGUAAAACUCUGUUAUUAGGGAAGAACAAAUGUGUAAGUAACUAUGCACGUCUUGACGGUACCUAAUCAGAAAGCCACGGCUAACUACGUGCCAGCAGCCGCGGUAAUACGUAGGUGGCAAGCGUUAUCCGGAAUUAUUGGGCGUAAAGCGCGCGUAGGCGGUUUUUUAAGUCUGAUGUGAAAGCCCACGGCUCAACCGUGGAGGGUCAUUGGAAACUGGAAAACUUGAGUGCAGAAGAGGAAAGUGGAAUUCCAUGUGUAGCGGUGAAAUGCGCAGAGAUAUGGAGGAACACCAGUGGCGAAGGCGACUUUCUGGUCUGUAACUGACGCUGAUGUGCGAAAGCGUGGGGAUCAAACAGG